UACGUAGGGUGCAGGCGUUAAUCGGAAUCACUGGGCGUAAAGGGUGCGUAGGCGGGUUUUUAAGUCAGAGGUGAAAUCCUGGAGCUCAACUCCAGAACUGCCUUUGAUACUGGGAAUCUUGAGUAUGGAAGAGGUGAGUGGAACUGCGAGUGUAGAGGUGAAAUUCGUAGAUAUUCGCAAGAACACCAGUGGCGAAGGCGGCUCACUGGUCCAUAACUGACGCUGAGGCACGAAAGCGUGGGGAGCAAACAGG
rnacentral:rRNA from 1 species